rnacentral:rRNA from 1 species
GUAGGUGGCAGCGUUGUCCGGAAUUAUUGGGCGUAAAGCGCGCGCAGGUGGUUCUUUAAGUCUGAUGUGAAAGCCCCCGGGCUCAACCGGGGAGGGUCAUUGGAAACUGGGGAACUUGAGUGCAGGAGAGGAAAGUGGAAUUCCACGUGUAGCGGUGAAAUGCGUAGAUAUGUGGAGGAACACCAGUGGCGAAGGCGACUUUCUGGCCUGUAACUGACACUGAGGCGCGAAAGCGUGGGGAGCAAACAGGAUUAGAUACCCUGGUAGUCCACGCCGUAAACGAUGAGUGCUAAGUGUUGGGGGGUUUCCGCCCCUCAGUGCUGCAGCUAACGCAUUAAGCACUCCGCCUGGGGAGGACGGUCGCAAAGACUG